UUAAAUCUCCAGGUAACAACCUGAUUGAACAUGCCCGGAGUAUUGUUCAGGCGUUCCCAUUUUUGUCCACCUGUACUUCUUCAAAUCAAACACAUAAGCCAUGUGGGGCUCACCGAAUCCCGCUGAGCCAAUCACCAAUAACUUGCCUUGCCAUGUUUCCACAAAAGCAAUGUUGCUUACAUCACAAGGAAGCUUGGCAAUAGCUUGCCACAUUGUGCCUUUAAGUGCCAGCACAUCACCUGCAUGACACAUGUACAUCCCAUCAUCGCCACUCGUACAUGUUCUGGGACAUAUGGCAGUUUCUAAGAAAUUGUCUUGCAUAUCAUUCCACUUCCACGUGGCAAAAUCAAACACCUCAGUAUUUUUCUCGAAUCUACCUUGCAUUUCAGUACAGUACCCUCCAAUGACGUGGAGCUUGCCACUGUGGAAAACAGCCUUGCACUCGUCACGCUCUCUUGCCAUGUUAGGCAAUGGGACCCAUUCGUCUUUUCUCACGUCAUAUGCGAUCCCAGAUCGCAGUGCAUUUUUCUCACCAUCAUGUCCAC
rnacentral:misc_RNA from 1 species